rnacentral:rRNA from 1 species
UUUAUGGAGAGUUUGAUCCUGGCUCAGGAUGAACGCUGGCGGCGUGCCUAAUACAUGCAAGUCGAGCGAACGGACGAGAAGCUUGCUUCUCUGAUGUUAGCGGCGGACGGGUGAGUAACACGUGGAUAACCUACCUAUAAGACUGGGAUAACUUCGGGAAACCGGAGCUAAUACCGGAUAAUAUUUUGAACCGCAUGAUUCAAAAGUGAAAGACGGUCUUGCUGUCACUUAUAGAUGGAUCCGCGCUGCAUUAGCUAGUUGGUAAGGUAACGGCUUACCAAGGCAACGAUGCAUAGCCGACCUGAGAGGGUGAUCGGCCACACUGGAACUGAGACACGGUCCAGACUCCUACGGGAGGCAGCAGUAGGGAAUCUUCCGCAAUGGGCGAAAGCCUGACGGAGCAACGCCGCGUGAGUGAUGAAGGUCUUCGGAUCGUAAAACUCUGUUAUUAGGGAAGAACAUAUGUGUAAGUAACUGUGCACAUCUUGACGGUACCUAAUCAGAAAGCCACGGCUAACUACGUGCCAGCAGCCGCGGUAAUACGUAGGUGGCAAGCGUUAUCCGGAAUUAUUGGGCGUAAAGCGCGCGUAGGCGGUUUUUUAAGUCUGAUGUGAAAGCCCAC